GUAUACAAGUUGUGCCGGAUUCUGAUUCCGGCAUUCCCAGGUUCGAAUCCUGGUACCCCAGCCA
rnacentral:tRNA from 1 species